rnacentral:rRNA from 1 species
GACGAACGCUGGCGGCGUGCUUAACACAUGCAAGUCGAACGGUGAAGCGCCUUCCUUUUUGGUGGGUGUGGAUGAGUGGCGAACGGGUGAGCAACACGUGAGUAACCUGCCCCCUUCUUCUGGAUAACCGCAUGAAAGUGUGGCUAAUACGGGAUAUUCUGGGUCUGUCGCAUGAUGGGUCUGGGAAAGAUAUUGUUUCGGUGGGGGAUGGGCUCGCGGCCUAUCAGCUUGUUAGUGGGGUGAUGGCCUACCAAGGCGGUGACGGGUAGCCGGCCUGAGAGGGUGGACGGUCACACUGGGACUGAGACACGGCCCAGACUCCUACGGGAGGCAGCAGUGGGGAAUAUUGCACAAUGGGCGCAAGCCUGAUGCAGCGACGCCGCGUGAGGGAUGGAGGCCUUCGGGUUGUGAACCUCUUUCGCCAGUGAAGCAGGCCUGCCUCGUUUGUGGGUGGGUUGACGGUAGCUGGAUAAGAAGCGCCGGCUAACUACGUG